rnacentral:misc_RNA from 1 species
AAUCGAUGGCCCCGUAGAAGAUAACGCACCGGAAGCUUAAUCAUCGUACUCCUGGCGGCGAUGGUGGUGGUGCUUCUGAUAACGCUGCUUCUUUUCAUCAUCAGAGUCAUUGUCAUCAUGUUUCUUGCGGCCGUAGCCUCCCUGGUAUUCGUCUCCCCCGCCAUAGCUCGGCUUGUUGUAUCCACCACUCUCAUACGCAGGCUUCUCGCCGUACCCAUACCCAUAAGAACCCUG